CCUUGCCAGCCCGCUCAGAAACUCAAAGGAAUUGACGGGGCCCGCACAAGCGGAGGAGCAUGUGGUUUAAUUCGAUGAUACGCGAGGAACCUUACCUGGGCUCGAACGUAAGAUGACUGUAGGUGAAAGCUUACAUCUCUUCGGAGCAUUUUACGAGGUGCUGCAUGGUUGUCGUCAGCUCGUGCCGUGAGGUGUCGGGUUAAGUCCCAUAACGAGCGCAACCCCUACCUUUAGUUGCCAUCAGGUUAAGCUGGGGACUCUAAAGGAACUGCCUACGCAAGUAGUGAGGAAGCGGGGAUGACGUCAAAUCAGCACGGCCCUUACGUCCAGGGCUACACACGUGCUACAAUGGCCGAUACAGAGGGCAGCUACCUGGUGACAGGAUGCAAAUCUCCAAAGUCGGUCUCAGUUCGGAUCGGAGUCUGCAACCCGACUCCGUGAAGUUGGAUUCGCUAGUAAUCGCGCAUCAGCCAUGGCGCGGUGAAUACGUUCCCGGGCCUU
rnacentral:rRNA from 1 species